rnacentral:rRNA from 1 species
UACACACCGCCCGUCACACCAUGGGAGUUGCCUGCACCAGAAGUAGGUAGUCUAACCGCAAGGGGGGCGCUUACCACGGUGUGGUCAAUGACUGGGGUG